rnacentral:rRNA from 1 species
UACGGAGGGGGGCUAGCGUUGUUCGGAAUUACUGGGCGUAAAGCGCACGUAGGCGGCUUUGUAAGUUAGAGGUGAAAGCCCGGGGCUCAACUCCGGAAUUGCCUUUAAGACUGCAUCGCUAGAAUUGUGGAGAGGUAAGUGGAAUUCCGAAGUGUAGAGGUGAAAUUCGUAGAUAUUCGGAAGAACACCAGUGGCGAAGGCGACUUACUGGACACAUAUUGACGGCUGAGGUGCGAAAAGCCAGGGGAGCAAACGGGG